GUACAAGCAGUGGGAGCCCCACCACUAAGCCAGUGGUGAACUCCACAUCCGCAUCCUUUGCUGAGGAUACGGUUAACGGAGCGAAAGCGACGUUCAACCGCAAAACAAGCAGAGGGGGCUUAGUGGUGGGGUGACUGCGUACCUUUUGUAUAAUGGGUCAGCGACUUAUAUUCUGUAGCAAGGUUAACCGAAUAGGGGAGCCGGAGGGAAACCGAGUCUUAAUUGGGCGUUAAGUUGCAGGGUAUAGACCCGAAACCCGGUGAUCUAGCCAUGGGCAGGUUGAAGGUUGGGUAACACUAACUGGAGGACCGAACCGACUAAUGUUGAAAAAUUAGCGGAUGACCUGUGGCUGGGGGUGAAAGGCCAAUCAAACCGGGAGAUAGCUGGUUCUCCCCGAAAGCUAUUUAGGUAGCGCCUCGUGAAUUCAUCUCCGGGGGUAGAGCACUGUUUCGGCUAGGGGGCCAUCCCGGCUUACCAACCCGAUGCAAACUGCGAAUACCGGAGAAUGUUAUCACGGGAGACACACGGCGGGUGCUAACGUCCGUCGUGAAGAGGGAAACAACCCAGACCGCCAGCUAAGGUCCCAAAGUCAUGGUUAAGUGGGAAACGAUGUGGGAAGGCCCAGACAGCCAGGAUGUUGGCUUAGAAGCAGCCAUCAUUUAAAGAAAGCGUAAUAGCUCACUGGUCGAGUCGGCCUGCGCGGAAGAUGUAACGGGGCUAAACCAU
rnacentral:rRNA from 1 species